UGUUACGAACAAGACGCAUUGUAAGUGAAGAUGACAAAUUUGAAGAGAGAGCAGAAGAAAUGAUGACCCACUUUGAGAGUAGAGGCUAUGGGACAGAUAUGUUGGAAACAGCCAGGGAGAAAGUAAAAGAUGGACCAGAGGUUAAAACCAUGGGUGGCGGAACCUCCAAUGAUGGCCUAUAAAAGAUCAAGCAACCUGAGGGACCAUCUGGUCCAUGCGUUAAUUGAACCACAAAAGAAGCAAGAUCAUAUAAGAAAUGAGUGAUGGAUUAUCCAUUGAAUUUUUGUGUCCUCCUAUUAACCUCACCAAAGGUUUUUUUUAAAAAAAAACGAAAAAACGAGGAAAUAUGUUAAUGAGCACUGUCACUUUAAAUAUAUUGCACUGACCACGGGUCUGUUUUUAUAUUGUUUAAUAUUAGAUUGCACAAUAUGGACUGUUUUAUAAUAUUGAUUGUCACUAUAAUGAACUAAUGAAAGAUGAUUGGUUACUAUAUGUAUUUUUAUGAACAAAUCUUUUUACAUGAAUUCCCUACAUAUGAUUGGACACAUUGAGACACAUGAUUAUAAGCACAUACUAACUUUAGAGGUCAUAUGACCCAGGUCAUCGAUUAUACACAUUGGACACAUUGAGACACAUGAUUAUAAGCACACACCCACUUUAGAGGUCAUAUGACCCAGAUCAUCGAUUGGAUACAUUGAGACACAUGAUUAUAAGCACAUACCCACUUUUGAGGUCAUAUGACCAACUUUAUCGAUUUUAUUAUAUGCAAUGGUAUAAAUCAAUUAAUUCUGCACACAAGCACUUUAGAACAUAUAUUUAUAUGUUUUAUCUAUAUGAUAAAUUGGUUUUUUGUUUUGAUCUGUGAUUAAUUAGUAGUAUGGUUUAUAUCCUGUGUUGCUGGAUGACAUUUGGUUGCUAUGUGAACUAUCGUGAGUUACCCCAUGUUUUGGUUACCUAGCGACAGAGUAAACAUGAGCGCAUGCUUUCCCUGUAGUGCAGGCAAGUACAAUGAAUAUAGAGAGCCGUGUUGCUAAGCGGAUGACUCAUCCGCGGAAGUGACAUAGGCGGAAGUGACGUCACACACCAUGUGGUAAUUGAACAGGGUAUUUAUAGCUCCACACGAUAGGGCAAACGUCAGAAUCCCCUUGACAAAGGCUUACGCCGAAACGUUGGGGCCAUUCUCAUACUGGUGGUAGGUGUAUCUGCUCCUUGCUGUAUAAUUGUAAUACUUACUGUUUACUGUUAUGUAAU